ACCUCACAGCCCCCAUCCUGCUCACAGAGGGCUGCUCCUGCGCCACGUCCCGACCCCCAACGCCUACAUGGACGACCCCUUCGGGCAGCCCCCAGCAUCUGCAGCCCCCCGGCACCUCUACUCUAAUGAGGAGCGGCUGCAGCGCUUGGUAACCCCGCUGCUGUGCCUUGGGGAUGGGGGGACGUGGGGAUGUGGGGACAUGGGGAUGUGGGGAUGUUGGGAUGUGGGGACAUGGGGAUGUGGGGACUUGAAGAUGUAGGGAUAUGGAGACAGGGAUGUGGGGACGUGGGAAUGUGGGGAUAUGAAGACAUGGGGAUCUGGGGAUCUGGAUAUGUGGGGAUGUGGGGGCUUGGAGAUGUGGGGAAAUGGAGAUGUGGGGAUGUAGGGAGAUGGAGACAUGGGGAUGUGGGAACAUGGGGACAUGGAAAUGUGGGGGUGUUGGGAUGUGGGGACAUGGAGAUAUGGGGAUGUGGAGACAUGGAGAUGUGGGGAUGUUGGGAUGUGGGGAUGUGGGAUAUGGAGCAGUGGGGACAUGGAGAUAUGGGGAUGUGGAGACAUGGAGAUGUGGGGAUGUUGGGAUGUGGGGACAUGAAGAUGUGGGGAUGCGGGGACAUGGGGACGUGGAAAUGUGGGGAUGUUGGGAUGUGGGGAUGUGGGAUAUGGAGCAGUGGGGACAUGGAGAUAUGGGGAUGUGGAGACAUGGAGAUGUGGGGAUGUUGGGAUGUGGGGACAUGGAGAUGCGUCCCCUCUGGCCACUCACCCAUAGGUUUCUGCCCAAAGCAGCACAGUGUGGACCAGGCAGUGCGAGGGCAGCGCAGCAGACCCGCAUCUGCAGCGCCCAGCGGCAGCACUGCGUCCCUGCAUGGAGCAGCAGCUGCAGUUCCCCAGGGCCGGCAGCAGGACGAGGGCAGCCCGCAGCUCCACACCAGGGAUUUCUUCCACUCCCAGCGCACCCUGACGCUUCCCCAGAGGAAAGGAACUCGGGACAGCUUGGAUCUCCUCACCGGUAAGACCCAACGGCCCUGGCUAUGGGGUGGGGGUUCCUGUGCCCUACAGCACAGCCCCGCUGCCCCAUAG
rnacentral:lncRNA from 1 species